ACAAACCGACUGUAACCUUAACUUUGCAGGAUAAUUAGAGAGAAAGAGUUAAAGAUUCAAGUGUUUCGAGACUAAGUGAAAGGUUUGUUGCGUGUUUGUUACAGACAUGAAAUACAGACAACAUGACCACAAAACUAUCUUAACAUUACAGCAUAACAAAUCAAACCUAACUUAACCUUAACUUUGCAGGAAAGGAGAGAAGGAAUUAAAUUCAAGUAUUUUCGAGAACGAGUGAGCAGUUCGGUUUAGUGGACUACCCUACGCCUCUUGCCCCUCGCUCUCACUCUCUACCAAGACGCACGGGCGCACGGGCACCUCUCACUCUCUCUCUGCCAAGGCGCACGGACACACGGACCUCUGCCUCGCUAACUGCACGAAGCCCACCUCAGCCUCAGCCAGCCCAUCUCAGCCUCUGCCAGCCUCCCCUGGGAGGACCACAAUACAUUUAAGCAAUUUGUUUCUUGCCUUCUUCAGUGAUGCAAAAUAAAAUAAGUGUUUAGU